CCCGUCGUGAUUGGCCCAUCGUCCCGCUCCCUAGCAACGAUAGGCUAGCGAGACCUGGUUUCCAGAAAUGGGCAUCAGUUCCGGACGAGAUUUAUGCAGAAGCGAUUGAAGGGCGGACGGUGGACAGAAGGCGGAGGCGGCCGCGCAUGCGCACUCGGCUCUUGGCAGUUUUUUUUUUUUUUUUUUUUUACCGGUCCAGUUCUUGAAGUUACGGGAAAGAAGGGAGAGUGUACGCAUGCGUGGGAACUCCCAGCCCUGGCUCCGGUUGCCGUGGCGACGACGAGGCGGUCCCGGUUCCGGGUUACCUCAGUUUUUCUCUUUGCUGCCGGGCGGUGGCGGCUGAGACGGGGCUAGCGGAUCCCUCUGAGGCCUAGCUUAAUCAGAGACAGGCUGGGCUCACACCUGCAUUCCGGGUGGUGUUAGAACAUUGUACGGUCCCUGCAAACACACCUGACAGCAUCAAGCCGAGAGACCCUCUUUAAAAGCGUAGCUGUGGAAUACUACUCAGUAGGACUGGUACCCGCGGCCACUUGAAUGGAUCUGGCGGCACGAAGCGGAGAGGGACAGGAUGGCUGGAAGAGCUCCCCCUUGUGUGAGUCCACGUGUAUUACAGUCCCCAGCCGCACGAGGAGGCUGGCACUGCUGUCGCAUCCCCAUCCUCCAGAUGAAGAAGCCAGGACACAGACGAGGAACCAGUGACUGGAAUCUUCCCGCAGGGCACUGUGGAGCUUGGGUUUGAAUCUGGCCUGGCCAGUUCCAGGCCCAGCACGGAGCCACUGUCACACUGCAGACCGGGCAGUCCACGUGGUCCCCCCCAAGGCUGAGUGGGAAGGUUGUAAGCAGGGUGGGCAUAGCAUCAGCCUUGGGCCUCAGAGUGAGCCUGGGGCUGGUGGUGGGGCGCAGUGGUUAAGCGGCUGCUUGGGCGCCCUCAUCCCAGGUCGGAGCGCUGGUUCGAGUCCCAGCUACUCCGCUUCCUAUGCAGCUCCUUGCUGGCGCCCCGGGGAAGAACCUGAGCCCCUGAUUGGGUCCCCCAGUCAGAUGCAGCUUCCGGGGCAGGUGCCGUCCAGACAAAGCCCAGCGCAGCCCCCACACCCAGUGCACCCUGCAGCGCUCACCACUGAGUCCCCGUGUCCUCACUGGUGACAAAGGACUUCUGAAUCGCCUCCUGGGGACAAAAGGGGACGAUUCGGGGCCAGUGGUGUGGCGUAGUGGGUAAAGUUGCCGCCUGCAAUGCCACCAUCCUAUAUGGGUGCCAAUUUGAGUCUUGGCUGUUCCGUGUCCAAUCUGGCUCCUUGCUGAAGUGCCAGGGAAGGCAGUGGAAGAUGGCCCAAGUACUUGAGCCCCUGCCCCCACGCAGGAGACAUGGAUGAAGCUUUGGCCUGGUUCAGCCCCGGCUGUUGUGGCCAUCUGGGGAGUGAACCUGCAGACAGAUCUCUUGGUAUCUGUGUAACUUUGUAUUUCAAAUAAAAUAAAAUGAAACAAUCUUUUUGAAAAUGCAAUGAUUCUAGAACUUCUCUGCCUGCUGUUCUGUAGUUCGGCUCCUGCAGCUUGGCAGUCGGGAGUCUGUGGUGGGGGAGGGGAUGUGACGUUCUCAAGACCCCUGCUUGGGAGCCUUCAGCCCAUUUCCUUGGUGACCCAGUGUCCUUGGUCACAGGCCCGCACUUCAUGUGCUCUGGAGGGCCCGGCGUCCCUGUCCCUGGUCAGCUGUCCAGCUGCCCCUCAGCCCCAGGCCCUCUGG